rnacentral:rRNA from 1 species
CCUACGGGAGGCAGCAGUCGAGAAUUUUUCUCAAUGGGGGAAACCCUGAAGGAGCGACGCCGCGUGGAGGAUGAAGGUCUUCGGAUUGUAAACUCCUGUCAUUUGGGAACUAGUACCAGAAGAGGAAGAGACGGCUAACUCUGUGCCAGCAGCCGCGGUAAUACAGAGGUCUCAAGCGUUGUUCGGAUUCAUUGGGCGUAAAGGGUGCGUAGGCGGCGGGGUAAGUCGGAUGUGAAAUCCCGGGGCUCAACCCCGGAACUGCAUUCGAUACUGCCUUGCUCGAGUACUGGAGAGGAGACUGGAAUUUACGGUGUAGCAGUGAAAUGCGUAGAUAUCGUAAGGAAGACCAGUGGCGAAGGCGAGUCUCUGGACAGUACUGACGCUGAGGCACGAAGGCCAGGGGAGCAAACGGGAUUAGAUACCCUUGUAGUC